rnacentral:lncRNA from 1 species
UCUCCCUGCAGCCUCUGCCUGAGAUGCUCUCAUGACUCAGCAGCACCGGCUGCGAGGCUGCUCCUUCCAAAACUCUGAAUUAAACAAGCCCAGCCCUGCUGAAUUAAACAUGCCCAGCCCUGCCUCCCCCUGCUGCUUUCCAGGCUUUUCCCGAGUUUCCCCUUCGGAAAUCCAGGGAAAUCCUCCAUGGAGUUCCAGGGAAACGCUGAUUUCAGAGGAGAGGCAGAGCCGUGCUGGGGGAUCCAUCCUGAAGACUUUGAGUUUUGGGAAUCUGGAAGAUUUAGUGCUACGAAUCCCACCACUUCUUUUUUUCUUUUUAACAGAGAAUUGGGGCACAAACACAAAAUGUUUAAUGGCUCUCAGAUGCCAAAUUUCUGCCAAAUAAUUUUUACUGGGGCUGGACACAGAAUUGCUGCUGAAAUGAUUGAAAAUGAGAAGUUGGCAAAGUCCUUCUGAGGCAAAAAUGUGCAUUUUGGCUUCUUUUGCUUGCAGGGGCUGCAGAGCCAGAAAAGUCAGUUAAAAAACCAGAAUUAUUUAACUCUUGAAAGCCUGGUUUGUGCUGCAGUUGGAUUGUUCUGGAAAAUACUGGAAUUUCAAAUUUUCCACAAUUUCCUCAUAAAUUGAUUCUGUCCCAUGCUGUCCAGCCUGGCCUUGGGCACUUCCAGGGAUCCAGGGGCAGCCACAGAUUCUCUGGGAAUUCCAUCCCAGCCCCUCCCCACCCUCCAAAGAAUGAAUUUAUUCUCAAUAUCCCACCUAACCCUGCUCAUUUAAUGGCUUUUUUUUCCUCCUGUGUAGAAUUUGAUGCAAAGAUUUUUACAAUUUUUAAAUCUUUUAUUGAAAGCCAAUGAAAACAAACUUUUCUCAUUUGAGCCAUCAAACCCAAAUGUUUCCUCUAUAUUUUUAUAUUUUAUUAUGUUUUUAUUCCUGGGUGAUAUUUCUCUCCAGCAUUGCAUUUCUUUGAUUUGUACCUUAUUUUAUUUUUUUUCUGUGUACAAUUCAAGGACUUGAAGAACACUUAAACCUGUUUUGUUUUCCCCUGGUUUUAUUCUGGGUGAAUUGCAAGGAUUUGAGGAGCACUUUUAAAUAAAACCUGUUCUUUUUAUUUCUUCCUGCUUUUU